GCCAGGUGUGGUGGUGUGUGCCUGUAGUUCCAGCUACUUGGGAGGCUGAGGCUGGAGGAUCUCUUGAGUCCACGAGUUUUGGGCUGUAGUGCUCUAUGCUGAUCAGGUGUCCACACUAAGUUCGGCAUCAAUAUAGUGACCUCCCGGGAGCAGGGGACCACCAGGUUGCCUAAGGAGGGGUGAACCGGCCCAGGUCCGAAACGGAGCAGGUCAAAACUCCCUUGCUGAUCAGUAGUGGGAUCGUACCUGUGAAUAGCCACUGCACUGCAGCCUGGGCAACGUAGUGAGACUCCGUCUCU
ensembl:misc_RNA Metazoa_SRP Metazoan signal recognition particle RNA